CUUGACGUGAGGCCAGUACGAGAGACGUUUGUUUUGGUUAGGUUAGGCUAUGUUAUCUUAGUUUUUGUUUGCUGACUGAUGCAGCCAUUUCCUUUGCUUUUGGAACGUUGCUCUAUUUUUUUGUGAAUGUUUUAAUGAGAAUUAAACUUCACUGUUCUUAGUCCUGAGUCCAUUGCCCUCAUUUUUGCCCACACUCGCAAUUUCCAGUUGGCCGUAUCCCAGAUACGUGGGACGACCACACCGGUCCCUCACAACAACAUAGCCUCUUUAGCAAACCAGCUUGAAAACACAACUUUACAUUGAAUUGCACGCAAAGCAAGACCGUGCAAUGCAUAAAUUGGGGACCGGAUUAAAGCAGCAAUGAAAUCAAUUGUGUCCUGUUUGGGAGGAGGUGGUUAGCUCUCCGUGCCGGGUUGCCACAUAUGGUGGAGAAUGCAGGCAACUCGACCGAGCUACGGGCCAUUUUGGGAGGGAACGCCAACCUCAAGCUACCCCCAAACCAGACCAUGACGUAGCCGGAGACGACGCAGCCGGAGACGACGCAGCCGGAGACGAGGCCGCGGAGACGAGGCUGCGACAGAAAACCCGCGAAACGAGCCACGCCGGCAGCAGAAGCAGCCAUGCUGCGCGCCGGACCGCCGCUCCUCCGAAAGGCCACCCGAGGCUUCAGCAAAGGGUGGAGGAGUGUGGAAACCCGGCCCGGGCCAAUUAAGGACAUGGAGAGCACCUGUGGAACAGGUGGAGAAGCAGGGCUUAAAUAGCCUGCUUCUCCACUCAUUCGGGGCUCUCCCAGCCAUGUGGCUCCUUACGGAGAGACCGGUCCUCCUGGAUGAUGGGAUACCACCCAUGAAGGAGGGGACCGCUGAUUCCUCCCAGUUCCCAUGGGGUCUACCGGAAGGGGCGGGACUUCCCGGCGCAUAUCUGCGAAAUGCAACGCUUCUAAAUGGCUGAGAGAUGCAGGGCGGGAGCAGAGGGAGAAUCUACCUUACCUACAGCCGUGGCUGGAGUGGGACCCACUUUCAGCCUCGGAGUUACAUGAUGCAGAUAGGCCCAGCCCAAUUGGGGGGAGCGGAACAGGGGGAGGGCUUUUGCUAUGUUCAAGCAAAUGAACUGAUUUAUGAAACCCUGUAAUGGACCCAAUUGAAAAAUCAACUUAAGAACCCAUUGUUGUUUCUCAAAAAAAAGGGAAGUGAAAAAGUGAACUCUGGUGCCUACAUUUGUCCUGUAAUUACCUGCAAUAUUACAACUUGCUCCUAGAAACUGCAUCCUAUCCUUUGUUGCACUCUUUGCAGUGUGCACACCAGUAGCUGUGUUUCCUCUGCUACCUCCUAGCCCUGUCUCAGCAUCACUGGGCUGACUCAGUUCCAUGGCUGCAAAAAUGAAAGCAUUCUGUGUCUGCAUACAUGCUACCCACAUACAACAUUUGUACUGAUAAAUCAUGCUGAUACUGAUGGUUAACUGCUUUUUCUAAAAACAGACAAUUAUCAACCUCCUCAUUGCCUACUCCCAAUUAUUGGUAAUAGUGCGAUGGCUAAGCUGGCCAGAUAGUGAUAAAAUAAAAAAAGCUUUGUUUGAAAUGUGACAUAAUCAUUACACUCUGCAUGUUGGCAACUAAUGCUAAAUUCCAAGCUCCCUCCUUAACUCCUAGAAUUUCUCACUCCUUUUCGGAUAGGUUUACAUUAAUGUUUAUUUUUAUUUAUUUUUGCUUUUUAUUUUUACUCUUACUAUUAUUAUUUUUGUUUUUGUUAUUCAUUCUUGAAUGGCUUUAUUGUUGUAAUUGGCAAAAUUUGUUGUUUUUGUUUUGUCUACAUAUUCAAAAUAAACAUGAAAGAAAGAACUCCUAGAAUUUCACCUG
ensembl:lncRNA